AGGAAACAGGGCGAGACAUAAAACAAAGGCAAGAAACACUCUCACCUGGACGCCAAUCGGAUUCGCUGCUCCCAUGACACGUUUGAAAGCAUUGUUCAGUCUCAAGGCCCCGCCCUCAUUUCCUGGCCAGCCUCCAAGUCCAAGAACUUCACGUCUUGCUUAUGACAGGGUAGGGACUCCAUCUUUUUUUGUAUUUCUGUAUAAUGCCUUGCAAUAUCUUGGGCUGAUUCCCGAAAACUGUGGGCCUGGAAGGAUGGAAAAGAUUUGCCUAGGAGGGCCACAAUAUCCAGCUUUUUAAGAUUUGGAACUCAUUAUGGGGUGUUUGAAUUUUACCCCUAACCUGCCGUGCCAUGUGACUUAACCCAAAAGCGCCUCAGGGGCUCCUUUUUAUAAGAAUGCAGUACUCUACAUCAAGAAUUAAUGGUGAGGCCAUACAAAAUCCCCAAAUGCCUUCUGAAUCAUCAGUUGUUAUAUAUGGUUAAUUUCAUUUUAAAAACUCGUUUUGGCAUCUUUUGUUGCUAAAUCAUAUUCAUCGCAAAAAUAUCUCACUUCACCCUUCCUCACCUGGAAAGUCUUCUCUGGUAACAAAGGUGUGUGUGUCUGUAUGUAUAUGUUUGUGUAUAGUGAGAGGGAGACAGAAGGAACACACUGAGGUGGUUUGAUGGCCAAUAAAAUAUUCUGCAAUAUUGGCCA
rnacentral:lncRNA from 1 species